UACAGAGGUGGCAAGCGUUGUUCGGAAUUACUGGGCGUAAAGGGCGCGUAGGCGGCCUACUAAGUCAGACGUGAAAUCCCCCGGCUUAACCUGGGAACUGCGUCUGAUACUGGAAGGCUUGAGGAUGGGAGAGGGAUGUAGAAUUCCAGGUGUAGCGGUGAAAUGCGUAGAUAUCUGGAGGAACACCGGUGGCGAAGGCGGCAUCCUGGACCAACACUGACGCUGAGGAGCGAAAGCCAGGGGAGCAAACGGG
rnacentral:rRNA from 1 species